rnacentral:lncRNA from 1 species
CAAAACGCAGCACUGAGGCAUGGACCAAAGUGCAAACACGCGCAAAAUAUCGGGCCAAAUUUAAAAAAAAACGAAGUACAAAUAUGAGCUGAUUAAAAUGCGGCGCAAAAAGGGAAGGGCCUACUGCGCAAAUAGUCCAUUUUAAGCGCAAAGGCGCGAACUCGGGCCUUGGAAUGGGUCGACGCGUGGACCCUUUUCCCCCCAGAACGGCGCCUUUUCGUUGUUAUCAAAACUAGAAAAAAGAAUGGUAAUCAGCUAUUCACUUUAGUAAUUGAAUCAAAACCCUAAUCCAUUUUCCCCUUUCUUUUUCAAACCCUAAAUCCUCCUUUUAAUGGCCGAUUCAUCCCCACCAAAUGGUGUUCUUCAAGCCUGGAGGAAUUUCAGCCUCGAAAACUCCUCUUGACUUCGAUUUCAAUGAAGCAAAAAGAAGUCUACGGCGCGUUUGCAAGGUAAGAGUUACUUCUUUCCCUUGUUAUCUCUUUCUUUUUAAAAAAAUGCGACAACGAUGUAUUCAGAAAGCGAAUUGAAAAGAAAAACUUAGAAAACACCCAAAUCAGAAAUCACCUGCAAUUUCGGUGGCUUUUCUCUCUAUUUCAAUAUGCGUAUUUCGAAAAAAAAGGAACCCUUACAAUCGAAAAUCAAAAGGGCUUUAUAGCCGAAUAAUCAAAGGAAAAAAAUAAAAAAUAAAAUAAAAUAAAAUAAAAUACAAUUUUCUUCUUUGUUCGUAUUUGUUGCUGUGUUUGUCUCGUUUGUUUGCAGGUACGGAGUAUGGGGCAUGCGCUGGCCCUUCGCGUGAGGCGUACGGAGGCGCGGACGUAGUGUGGCUACUAAAACGCUGCAGCAUACGGAGGCGCUAGAGGCUAGCUGCGGCGCAAGCAGAGGCUAGGGUUCUGCCUUGGUUUUGGCUUUUGGGCCUGUUCUUGUAGUUGGGGUAUCGUGUUUGGGCUUCUGGGCUCAUUGGGCUUGGUGUAUUAGUUGGGACAUUUAAUGGACCGUUAAUAUUUGAUGUUUUGUUUAUUUAUUAUUUUUAUUUUGGAUUUUGGUUCUGACGUGGGCCCGGGCAAAUUGGCCCGUUUACAACGAUAAUUGCUUACCUUAUCCUGACUCGUUCCAUUAUAUAAAAUUAUCAUUGUAUAUAUAAAUUAUUAAAAUGGUAAAAAUAUAAAAUAUAAAAAAAUCAAAUAUUUUAUGUUUAAAUAUUUUUUGAAGAAUUAUGUUUUGAAUAUUGACUUUACUUUAAAAGGAUUGAAAAUAUUAAAGAUAGUUGAAAAAUUAAUUUGAAGGCAAGCAGAAAAACAAAAUAGGGCGGAGAUGGAUGCUUCCACAUUAAUGAAGGUCGACUCGUAUUGGUUUUUAAAAUUGUACAUCUACAAUGGAGCGGGAUGAGUGGUAAAACGGAACGUGCCAAUUAUGGAGUGAUAAUAAAUUUAACAAUAUCCAACCCAUCAUACUCUAUUGCCAUCCCUAGCAGUAGUAGACUUCAUUCUCAAGCAUUUGGAUUGAAUUCAAAUCCUAAAAUCCUC